GAUGAACGCUGGCGGCGUGCUUAACACAUGCAAGUCGAACGAUUAAACUGGCUUCGGCCAGAUAUAGAGUGGCGAACGGGUGAGUAACACGUGACCAACCUGCCCCGCGCUCCGGGACAACCGCUGGAAACGGCGGCUAAUACCGGAUGCUCCGGGGAGGCCCCAUGGCCUCCCCGGGAAAGCCCUGACGGCGCGGGAUGGGGUCGCGGCCCAUUAGGUAGACGGCGGGGUAACGGCCCACCGUGCCCGCGAUGGGUAGCCGGACUGAGAGGUCGACCGGCCACAUUGGGACUGAGAUACGGCCCAGACUCCUACGGGAGGCAGCAGUGGGGAAUUUUGCGCAAUGGGGGAAACCCUGACGCAGCAACGCCGCGUGCGGGACGAAGGCCUUCGGGUUGUAAACCGCUUUCAGCAGGGAAGACAUAGACGGUAC
rnacentral:rRNA from 1 species